rnacentral:rRNA from 1 species
CAGCCGCCGCGGGAAAACGGAGGGUGCAAGCGUUAAUCGGAAUUACUGGGCGUAAAGCGUGCGUAGGCGGUUCGUUAAGUCUGCUGUGAAAGCCCCGGGCUCAACCUGGGAAUGGCAAUGGAUACUGGCGAGCUAGAGUGUGUCAGAGGAUGGUGGAAUUCCCGGUGUAGCGGUGAAAUGCGUAGAGAUCGGGAGGAACAUCAGUGGCGAAGGCGGCCAUCUGGGACAACACUGACGCUGAGGCACGAAAGCGUGGGGAGCAAACAGGAUUAGAUACCCCUGUAGUCCCUGUCUCUUAUAC